rnacentral:rRNA from 1 species
AGAAUGAACGCUGGCGGCAUGCCUAACACAUGCAAGUCGAACGAGACCUUCGGGUCUAGUGGCGCACGGGUGCGUAACGCGUGGGAAUCUACCCCUUGGUUCGGAAUAACAGUUGGAAACGACUGCUAAUACCGGAUGAUGACGUAAGUCCAAAGAUUUAUCGCCGAGGGAUGAGCCCGCGUAGGAUUAGCUAGUUGGUGUGGUAAAGGCGCACCAAGGCGACGAUCCUUAGCUGGUCUGAGAGGAUGAUCAGCCACACUGGGACUGAGACACGGCCCAGACUCCUACGGGAGGCAGCAGUGGGGAAUAUUGGACAAUGGGCGAAAGCCUGAUCCAGCAAUGCCGCGUGAGUGAUGAAGGCCUUAGGGUUGUAAAGCUCUUUUACCCGGGAUGAUAAUGACAGUACCGGGAGAAUAAGCUCCGGCUAACUCCGUGCCAGCAGCCGC